rnacentral:RNase_P_RNA from 1 species
GCCGCUGGUGCAAUCUGGGAAACCAGGCACUGGAGGAACGUCCGGACUGCACAGGGCAGCGUAGGAGGUAACACCUCUCCACCGUGAGGUGAGGAUCAGAGCAACAGAGACGAGUCACCUUGGUGCCGCACCGAGGGCGCAAGCCCGAGGUACGAGCAUCCAAGGUGGGUGAAACGGGCAAUCUCUACGCGCAGCAAUACCAAAUAGGCACACGUUGACGGGGCCCCCCGAGUGUGCGGGUAGGUAGCACCGAGCCGGUGGGGCGACCCCCGGCCCAGAUUAAUGGCGGUCACACCGCAGGCGACUGCGGGCGCACAGAAUCCGGCUUAUCGGCCGACUUCACAC